AACACCUCAACAGGUAGAUCUACACACAUUCAUGUGGGCGUGUGUCCCCAGAUACGACAUUUAGUUACCUUAUUUACCAAUCAGAAGGAUUGUUUAAUUCAGUUGAUUUAAAUUUUGAUAAAAACUGGUAUUGUCAGGAUGAAAAUAACAAAUUGAUGGAGUUUAAUUCUGGUUCAAACUGGAAAUGUUUAUUCAGAAAGUAACAUAUUCAUCAAUAUGACAAGAAGGAAGUUAAUCAGUGUGGCUGUGAAUUCUGAAGGUAGAGAAAUAUGGACAGUGUAAAUUAGUGUGGCUGUGAAUUCUGAAGGGAGAGAAAUAUGGACAGUGUAAAUUAGUGUGGCUGUGAAUUCUGAAGGUAGAGAAAUAUGGACAGUGUAAAUUAGUGUGGCUGUGAAUUCUGAAGGUAGAGAAAUAUGGACAGUGUAUAUUAACAUUCUGAUGCUGUGGAUGGACAACUUGGAUCAUCACAGUAACCCUGCGACAUCAUGAGCUGGUCGGCGAUGAGAACCCAUGAUUUCACCUAACUGGUCGUUUGUCAGCUGGUCGACGAUGUGAACCCAUGACUUCACCUAGUUGGUCGUUUGUCAGCUGGUCGACGAUGAGAACCCAUGACUUCACCUAGUUGGUCGUUUGUCAGCUGGUCGACGAUGAGAACCCAUGAUUUCACCUAACUGGUCAUUUGUCAGCUGGUCGACGACGAGAACCCAUGACUUCACCUAGUUGGUCGUUUGUCAGCUGGUCGACGAUGAGAACCCAUGACUUCACCUAGUUGGUCGUUUGUCAGCUGGUCGACGAUGAGAACCCAUGACUUCACCUAGUUGGUCGUUUGUAAGCUGGUCGACGAACCCAUUCCCAUUGUACAAUAGCCAAAAUGUAAAUAGUCACACUUUAGUGCGGGUUCUCUGAAGGAUUCUGAUGUUAACAUUGGUGUUAAUGCUGCCUUGUGGCGACUUUAUGUACAUUGAUUGUAUGUAAAAAUUGUCGAUUUCUAACGUCAAAGCUACAUUUUAUGAAAUUUUCUUGGAGCAGUUAGAGUGAUUAUGUUCCACAAUAUCAUCCACCAUCAAGUCGACUCAAGCCUGGAACAGUUACUACUAAAUCAGUAGUGAAACUAUCAUAUUUAGGACCAAAAGAGGCAGCCUUACCUACCAGAUAAAAACAGCAAGGCUCGAUCUCUUCCUUCUUAGCUUCCUUCCCAGGACCAUCUCUGUACCUGGACCCGACCGACCUACAACAUCAAGGGAAUAGAUCUAGAGGAACUGCCAACUUUCACAUCCAAAAUUACACCAAUGGACCUCCUGGUCACCAGCAGUCGUUAGUCCAUAGACUGUUUAUCUAAUCUAUAUUCAAAAAUCUAAAAAAAAUAUUUUUGAUCUUUUGAUCCGUUGGCGUGGUCUGCGAUGGAGCAGUUAAUUCACUCUAUUUAGAAUUGGCUCCUGUAUGGGAAGAAGACGGUUAGCUGAAUAAAUGACUUUAUUCCAUCAGAACUUCAGAAACGUUUAUAUUUUCGACAAACGUCUCUGAAUCAAAAACGAAAAUGACCAAGCUCUCUUAAUUCUGUAGAUUCCUCUGAUUAAAUACCAAUUACAAAC